rnacentral:lncRNA from 1 species
CUGCCUCUAUAAAUAGAUUUUGCAAGACGUUUGUUGUAACCGCCUCGGUUAAUAAAAAAUGACCGCCUCGGUUAAUGCUAGGCAUUAAUAAUGCUAGGCAUUAACCGAGGCGGUUUACAUUUCUGCCCUCCUCGAAAAGUGUUUUAAAAAAGUCGCGGUAAAUAUUUUUUUGUAGUAGUGACUACUGCAAUGCUCUGAACAAACUUCUAUACAUUGUUCAAUCCUCAGGCCCAAGUUUGUCACCGUCAGUGACACUGAGCUUCUCUGUAAUUGACAAAGGAGUGUCAACAAGUUUGGACUUAUCCAUCCCUAACCAUCUUAGAAUAUCUGCAGCAUACCUCUCUUGCGAAAGCACCAGGCCCUGUAAAUUUUGAUUGACUUCUAUUUCUCAUUCUGUCAUUCAUGGGUUGACUACCCUAUGUGGCGCAAACAUAUAGUUGGAAGCAUUAGCUCAUAUGAUGAAUCUGGACUCAUACUCAUCAGACGAUGGGCCAAAUUAUGAACAGCCCGUCUAAGCCCAUAUACACCCUCAAAAAGAAAAAGGCCCCUAUAAGAAAUUAAUAAAUGCACGUAUCUGGUGAGAUUUGCACUCAAAAGAAUGAAAAAAAAAAACGUAUCUGGGUGGGGCAUCCCCCACCUCCACCAAACAAAAGAAUAUCCGAUCGCGCGCGCUAUAAAAAUGGAAAGCUUCCAAAACCUGGUUCCUCGCGAAACCCUCAGACGUCAGCAGUCAAAAAGCCAGUACGCUCCUGUCUCCCUUUCUUUCUCCAUUUGCUUGGCAGCUAGCUAGGGCGGCGCUCCCAUUCCAGCAGUUCGCCCAUCGCCGCCGCCGCCAGAUUCUUUGCUGCUCGUCUCGUCCG